CGGGGUGAGUAAUGUCUGGGAAACUGCCUGAUGGAGGGGGAGAACUGCUGGAAACGGUAGCUAAUACCGCAUAACGUCGCAAGACCAAAGAGGGGGACCUUCGGGCCUCUUGCCAUCGGAUGUGCCCAGAUGGGAUUAGCUAGUAGGUGGGGUAACGGCUCACCUAGGCGACGAUCCCUAGCUGGUCUGAGAGGAUGGCCAGCCACACUGGAACUGAGACACGGUCCAG
rnacentral:rRNA from 1 species